rnacentral:lncRNA from 1 species
CGAGGCCUAGGCAUCCCAGCAACCCCACCUGUGAAAACACUUCAGCCUGGGCCCUAAGCAGAGAUGAACAGCAAGCUGCUCACCAUGCUGACAGCACUUCCCUGUGUGUUUUACUUCAUCAUGAAAUCCAAAUUUGGUGCUGAAGUGCCCAUCUAAGCUCACUCACUUGCCUCUUUAAGACAAGAAGAUAUCCAUGGCUGGAAUGACUUGGGAAUUUGAUAAAAUCAAUUAAGAAUGUCUAUAGAUGGAAAAAACAAAACUCCAUAGUGAUUAGAGGCAAAGGAUGGUCAGCAAAUCAUUGUUUCUGGCUGUAGCUGGAAGCUGACUGCAAUUGAAUAAUAGAACUAACACAGAGUUUCAGAAUCAUGGUGUGCCACUGCUGCUGGAUCCCUUUAAGCAAAAAAUCAUGGUGAAGAACACCAGGGAACUUCCAAUGUAAUCUAAACUUUUAUCCCUUUUUUUGGUCUUUUAAGAGC